ACCAGAGUGGCCCCUUUCACUGUUUCCACUGGCUUCCUCCUUGUUUAGUUCCAAUGACAUGGCUGCUCGAGGCACGCUCUUUCGCUUUUUUGUGUGUGAAUACAGAUAAAGGGAAGUAAGGUUUGGGGGUACAGGGCACACCCCUGACCCCAAGGUGAUAACCAGAGUGGCCCCUUUCACUGUUUCCACUGGCUUCCUCCUUGCUUAGUUCCAAUGACAUGGCUGCCUAUGCACCUGUCACUGGUCCAGGGAUGGUUGCAAAUCGGGAGGGAUGGAGUUUGUGGUCGAAAACACUCAGGAUCUGCUUCCUCCUGGCUAAUGGGCCAAAUUGACGUAUUGGGUGAUCGAGGCACGCUCUUUCGCUUUUCUGUGUCUGAAUACGUGUAAAGGGAAGUAACGUUUGGGGUAGAGGGCACUCCCCUGACCCCAAGGUGAUAACCAGAGUGGCCCCUUUCAUUGUUUCCACUGGCUUCCUCCUUGCUUAGUUCCAAUGACAUGGCUGCCUAUGCACCUGUCACUGGUCCGGGGAUGGUUGCAAAUCGGGAGGGAUGGAGUUUGUGGUCGAAAACACUCAGGAUCUGCUUCUUCCUGGCUAAUGGGCCAAAUUGACGUAUUGGGUGAUCGAGGCACGCUCUUUCGCUUUUCUGUGUCUGAAUACGUGUAAAGGGAAGUAAGGUUUGGGGGUACAGGGCACACCCCUGACCCCAAGGUGAUAACCAGAGUGGCCCCUUUCAUUGUUUCCACUGGCUUCCUCCUUGCUUAGUUCCAAUGACAUGGCUGCCUAUGCACCUGUCACUGGUCCGGGGAUGGUUGCAAAUCGGGAGGGAUGGAGUUUGUGGUCGAAAACACUCAGGAUCUGCUUCUUCCUGGCUAAUGGGCCAAAUUGACGUAUUGGGUGAUCGAGGCACGCUCUUUCGCUUUUCUGUGUCUGAAUACGUGUAAAGGGAAGUAAGGUUUGGGGGUACAGGGCACACCCCUGACCCCAAGGUGAUAACCAGAGUGGCCCCUUUCAUUGUUUCCACUGGCUUCCUCCUUGCUUAGUUCCAAUGACAUGGCUGCCUAUGCACCUGUCACUGGUCCGGGGAUGGUUGCAAAUCGGGAGAGAUGGAGUUUGUGGUCGAAAACACUCAGGAUCUGCUUCCUCCUGUCUAAUGUGCCAAAUUGACCUAUUGGGUGAUCGAGGCACGCUUUUUCGCUUUUUUGUGUGUGAAUACGUGUAAAGGGAAGUAAGGUUUGGGGGUAUAGGGCACACCCCUGACCCCAAGGUGAUAACCAGAGUGGCCCCUUUCAUUGUUUCCACUGGCUUCCUCCUUGCUUAGUUCCAAUGA